rnacentral:rRNA from 1 species
AUGUCGAGCCGUAGAUCUUGUGGCCUGGUGCUCGCCUGCGCCGCCCUCAUGGCGGCGGUGGCCGGCGCGGCGCAGUACAACGUCGGCGGCGACAACGGCUGGGGCGUGCCCGGCGCCGGCGCCGAGUCCUACAACACCUGGGCCGAGAAGACCACCUUCCAGGUCGGCGACCAGCUCGUGUUCGUGUACCCCAAGGACAAGGACUCGGUGCUGCUGGUGGCGCCGGCCGACUACAACGCUUGCAACACCAACACGUACGACAAGCAGUUCACCGACGGCAACACCGUCUUCGACCUCGACCGCGCCGGCGCCUUCUUCUUCAUCAGCGGCGUCGACGCCAACUGCCGCGCCAACGAGAAGCUCAUCGUCAUGGUCGCCGCCGCCGCCAAGGGCGCUCCCACGCCCAGCCAGGGGUCACCCGCAGCAACAGCAACGACCCCGCCGUCUUCUCCCUCAGGUGGCGCCCCGCCAAACUCCCCAGCAGCCCCAAAUGCUCCGGCGGGUAACUCAACGCCGGCCAAGGACGCGCCUCCUGGAGCCGCCAGCGGCGCCGGCCUCACGGUGGCAGGCCUCGCCGGCUCGUUCGCGGCAUUGUUUGGAUACGCCAUGCUUGCUUUCUAG